rnacentral:lncRNA from 1 species
AGAGUUCUACUCCGAGAGACCAUCGCUAUGGUUUGGUGUGGAAAUUAGGUGACGUUGCAUUCCUUCUCUUUGACGUUUUUUUUUGGGCUUUUUCUCAAUUUUGCUUGUGCAUUUAUUCACAAAUUGAUACCAUCAUUUGGCGAGGAUUUUUAUAAUGAUUGGAAAAAAUUGGAAGUUGAGUACUAUUUUGACCUUAAAUUAUCUAAAGUCUACACAGUAUAACCAUUAAACAAAGUUGCACGAUACCAUAGUUCUGAAAGGAACAUUUUAAUUGAUAUAUCCUGAAUCUAACCACAACGUGAUCGACGUCGAAAAAAUAAAUACCACGACAUCUCGC